CUGGCGACCGGCGCACGGGUGAGUAACACGUAUCCAACCUGCCUCAUACUCGGGGAUAGCCUUUCGAAAGAAAGAUUAAUAUCCGAUAGCAUAUAUUUCCCGCAUGGGUUUUAUAUUAAAGAAAUUCGGUAUGAGAUGGGGAUGCGUUCCAUUAGUUUGUUGGGGGGGUAACGGCCCACCAAGACUACGAUGGAUAGGGGUUCUGAGAGGAAGGUCCCCCACAUUGGAACUGAGACACGGUCCAAACUCCUACGGGAGGCAGCAUG
rnacentral:rRNA from 1 species